UCUGUAUUCGUUCUUCUCGGAAGCAUUAAUUGUGAUAUCUCCGCCAGUUAGAUUUGCAAAUAUUAGGACGUAACCCAUGCAUCCUCUUAAACUUCGAUCACACCUGAGAGAGACGAGAGAGAGAAGUUGAUAUUCAAAAGGUAAAAUUUUCAACAAAAAAAAAGA